AAGUCGUAACAAGGUUUCCGUAGGUGAACCUGCGGAAGGAUCAUUAACAAAUUCCAAAACUCGUGUUUGGCUUGUCCGUCUCGAAUCUGAUUCUCUCAGGCUCUGGGGAAAUCUCUCUGGGGCUUGGGAAAGUUGGAGUAAGGGUCUAACAAGUCAGUUAACAACACAAACAAACACACUUUACAUUUAUUGACAACUAAUGGAGAACCUAAACGUUAAAUCGAAACAACUUUUAACAAUGGAUCUCUCGGCUCUU
rnacentral:misc_RNA from 1 species